UGAUAAUCAUCAUGAUUUUUGUCAUCACAAUCAUCAAUAUUUGUUGGUUAAACAUGAUUGCUUACAGGAUUGAACACCAUGCAUCCUCUUCCAAACAAGUGCGUCUAGGACUACAUUAUCCAAGAAGAACAAAAGGUAAAUUUUACCUCAGUAGGAUAUGAACUCAGAAUGUAAAGAAACAUAACUAAACAUCACAAGCAUUUUGUCUGCCACUCAAAUAAAUAUAUCAAUCUUCUACCCUCGGAUCAAUCAGUUCUGACAUUGAGCGUUCCAGUUGUUCAUUCAAGAGAAAUACCUACUGAUUGGAGGCCAAGUGUUCCUCUGACACAUGUACACCGAAAGUAAGAUGGAAUCCAGAUUUUAUAGUGUGUGACAAUUUUGACCUUUUGAAAUACAAAUCCAGUCAAUGCAACAGGUUUCCAUAGUUUCCUUCUACCCAAUUUCCCUUACAAAGCUUGGGUUGGCCCAAAACUAUAUCAAA